UAGUUCCCAACCUACACCACA
rnacentral:miRNA from 1 species